rnacentral:rRNA from 1 species
AGUGAACGCUGGCGGCGUGCCUAAUACAUGCAAGUCGAACGGAGUGGCGCACGGGUGAGUAAUAUAUAGCUAAUCUGCCACUUGCUGGAGGACAACAGUUAGAAAUGACUGCUAAUACUCCAUAGCAAGGGAUGAGACUAUAUCGUAUCAGAUAGUCGGUGGGGUAACGGCCUACCGUGGUUAUGACGCGUAACUGGUCUGAGAGUAUGAUCAGUCACAUUGGAACUGAGACACUGUCCAAACUCCUUCGGGUGGCAGCAGUAGGGAAUAGCGCGCAAUGGGGGUAACCCUGACGCAGCAACGCGGCGUGGAGGAUGACACUUUUCAGAACGUAAACUCCUUUUGUUAGGGAAGCGGUACCUAACUAAUAAGCACCGGCUAACGCCGUGCCAGCAGCCGCGGUAAUAC